UAAACUGGGCGAAGAAGCCCUUGAGAGCAGCCGUGUGGAGAAGGACUUGGGGGUCCUGGUGGACGAGAAGCUGGACGUGAGCCAGCAGUGUGCGCUUGCCGCCCAGAAGGCCAACUGUGUUCUGGGCUGCAUUACAAAAAGGGUGUCCAGCAGGGAGAGGGAGGGGAUUGUCCCGCUCUGCUCGGCUCUUGUGAGGCCCCAUGUGAAGCACCGCGUCCAGGCCUGGAGCCCCCAGCACAGGAAGGACGUGGCGCUCUUGGAGCAGGUCCAGAGGAGGGCCACUAAGAUGGCCAGAGGGCUGGAGCACCUCUCCUGUGAGGAAAGGUUGAGGGAACUGGGCUUGUUCAGCUUGGAGAAGAGAGGGCUCCGGGGAGACCUAAACCAACGCCUAAGCCAAACCCUAACCCUAGCCCAACAUCUAAACCAACACCUAAUCCUAAACCUAAGGCAAUCCCUAAUCCUAAACCUAAGCCAACAGCUAACCCUAACCCAUCCCCUAACCCAAUCCAUAGCCCUAAGCUUAAGCCUAACCCUAAGCCAAACCCUAGCCCUAACCAUAGCCCCAACUCCAGCACUAACCGUAAUGGUAAACUUAAUGAUAAUCCUAACCCUAACACAAACCCUUCUUUCCGGAGCUGGGGAAACCGACUCCAGAAAUGCCAUCUGAGGGAACAGACGUCCUGGCAGAUAGAACAAACCAGGUGUGAGCACUGUCUUUCCAAAGUUACACCGAAGCCGUUGGAGGAAAGGUCGGACUUCAGGCCUUCCCGCGGCACCAACUACUGUCGGCGGAUUUGCGCACAGAUCCUUCACAGCUGUUUCAAAGAACCAUUCUGUGAUUCUAUGAUCUUCCAGGACCGUUCCAAGCCACACCAUCCUGUGGUUCUAUGAUCUUCCUGGACUCUUCCAACACAAACCAUUCUAUGGUUCUGUGAUCACUAAGGAACCUCCCAAGCCACGCCGUCCUGCAGUUCUAUGAUCUUCCAGGACCCUUCCAACACGGACCAUCCUAUGGUUCUAUGAUCUUCCAGGACCCUCCUGUGCGGGUGAUAUCACCAUGACGUGAUGACCUCACAGAUGCCCUGGGGUGGGGCAGGGGCAGUGGGUCAGCGCGGAACCUGCUGGCCCCAUUCUGCGGGUGGUGCUGGUCCAGCGAGGAGCUGUGCGAGUGGUGCAGCAAUGCGGGCCCAGUGUGUCAGCAGAAGAUUAAGGGCGGUGUGGCGUGCGAAGCUGGUGGAGGAGGAGCUGCUGGCUCAUGCGGCCGUGGAGAAGUGCAAGGCCAUGGCCAGGGAAUCCUUGAUGAAGGAUGCCCAGAAAUUACGGGCAGAAAGAACAGCUGCCAGGAAAGAGAAGCUGAAGCAGGAGAAGCAGCUCGUUGCCCAGCUGGAACAGCAGCUGCAGGCUGAGACAGAGGAGAUGGAGGUGCUGCGCCAGGAAAAACAGCGCCUGCAAGAGGAGCGGGAGGAGCUGGAGCUGGAGGGUGCCUGGCAGCAGCAUCAGCUGGAGCUGGAGGCAGCCCACGUGCCUGGGGCUGUGCUGCCGAAGCUGGUGGAGGCAGAGCUGGAGAAGAAGGAGCAGGCGAGGAGACGUGGGCUCGCCUUCUGGAUGAAGACAAUCUGCCUCAUCUUCGUCAGCCUCCUGCUGCUGCUCGUUGCCGUGCUGGGCUCUGCAGUGCUGUACGCCCAGCACUAUGACCAGGAGCUGUUGUAUCGGCUCCUGCUGCGAGUGCUGCCCCAGGCAAUGUACGCUUCCCCGGCGUACUUUGCGAGCAGGAGCCUGCGUGUGGUCUCUGUGAUGGGCUGCUGCCCAUCUGACCGCCCCUCUCAGUCCCCCCUCCCAGCUCGGGGCUGCGCAGUGGUGGGGUGCAGGGAGAGAGCUCUGUCCCCACGGAAGGGGCCUCUCCUGUGCUCCUGCCCCCAGGGGCGCACAGGCACAGCUGUGGGGCAGUGCCGGCAGGCGGCUGAGUGCUGGGACUUUGGACUUACAAAUAAGUUGGUACUGUCGUCGUCAACUGAACACCACCACCUCCGACGACCCAUCAGACUGAAGAUGUGCACCUGACGCCAGGACGUGGCUUCUUGGAUUCUUUGAGUCUUCGUAGCAGCCAUUUCCUUCAGCUGGUUACCUGUAAGGCUUAUGAAUUGUAAUUAGCCCAUUAGGCAAUGUUACCUCCAGUGGGCUGUUGUCAGUUGUUAAGAAUGCUGUCAAUAAAUGGAUGUGUA
ensembl:lncRNA